CGAGGGAACAGUGAAGCUGCUGACGAGCGGCGGACGGCUGAGUAACGCGUGGGAACGUACCCUAAAGUAAGGGAUAACUAGUCGAAAGAUUAGCUAAUACCGUAUGUGAUCUUCGGAUUAAAGAAUUUAUUCGCUUUAGGGAAUGGCCUGCGUACGAUUAGAUAGUUGGUAGGGUAAUGGCCUACCAAGUCGACGAUCGUUAGAUGGUUUGAGAGGAUGAUCAUCCAGACUGGGACUGAGACACGGCCCAGACUCCUACGGGAGGCAGCAGUAGGGAAUCUUUCACAAUGGGCGAAAGCCUGAUGGAGCAACGCCGCGUGCAGGAUGAAGGCCUUCGGGUUGUAAACUGCUUUUAUAACCGAGAAAUAUGAUGGUAAGUUAUGAAUAAGGAUCGGCUAACUACGUGCC
rnacentral:rRNA from 1 species